rnacentral:rRNA from 1 species
GAUGAGGUAGAUAGGUUCGGGGUGGAAGCGUGGCGACACGUGCAGCUGACGAAUACUAAUCGAUCGAGGACUUAACCAAUAAC